rnacentral:rRNA from 1 species
UGGGGAAUUUUGGACAAUGGACGCAAGUCUGAUCCAGCCAUGCCGCGUGCGGGAAGAAGGCCUUCGGGUUGUAAACUGCUUUUGUACGGAGCGAAAAGGUCUGCCCUAAUACGGUGGGCUCAUGACGGUACCGUAAGAAUAAGCACCGGCCAACUACGUGCCAGCAGCCGCGGUAAUACGUAGGGUGCGAGCGUUAAUCGGAAUUACUGGGCGUAAAGCGUGCGCAGGCGGUUGUGUAAGUCAGGUGUGAAAUCCCCGGGCUUAACCUGGGAACUGCGCUUGUGACUGCACGGCUAGAGUAUGGCAGAGGGGGGUGGAAUUCCACGUGUAGCAGUGAAAUGCGUAGAUAUGCGGAGGAACACCGAUGGCGAAGGCAAUCCCCUGGGCCUGCACUGACGCUCAUGCACGAAAGCGUGGGGAGCAAACA